rnacentral:tRNA from 1 species
GUACCGUUAAAGUAAGGAUAUUCACCCUUUCACGGUGUGAACCGGGGUUCGAAUCCCCGUGGGGACGCCA